rnacentral:lncRNA from 1 species
AUUAUAUGUCUGGCAUGCCCAUGCAAGCACAUGAUUUUGCUCUAUCAAUAAAUAUUGUAAUUAAACCUUUUUAUGCCACCCUUCUUUCAUCAUAUUCCAACUUAUUUGCUCUGAUAUAAGCUAGAUUUAACAUCUUCAGGCCCAGAAAUUAGGAUUCAAGAUUUGCCUCAUUGAAAACCGGUCAGGAGUUCAUGUUCACAAUCAAGCAGUGACCCCUUCUACUACUUGAGGGAUUCAGCAAAGGUACUUCUACUUUUCUGUCCUAACAAGAAAUUAGUGAAAAAAGAUACCUCUCAUUCAGGUAUUUUCUAUAAAUGCACAUUUAUUUAUAACAAUAGCACCAGGAUGAAUGUUUGUUACUCAUGAUAUUUUUAAUUCCGUUAACCUCUUGAAUAAAGAUUAUUGAAAUUUGACUUCUAAAGUUGUGCCAUUGCUUGUGCUGAACCAGACCAUCAACGGUACAGUCAAAGUUGAACAUGAAAACAAGGCGCUCUGCCAGUGUGCGUGCAUGAUCCAAUAGCAUGUGUUUAAUAGUAGCCACUAUGAUGUGAAAUACUAGCAGCUUCCUCCAUUUAUGCCAGUAUUUGAUAUACUUACCAAAGUUUAAGGGCGCCAAUCUUAAGAAGACAUCCCGGUUUGUGAGAAAAUUUCUUAUGCGUAUUAGACAAAAGAUGUAUCUAAUUUUCCUUAGGUUGCAUUGCAACACAUCAGUUUUUGCUAUUGGUUCUUUUACCAUAAAAUUUGUAAGGUCCCUUAUGUUUGAUUUAUUGUAUAAAUCAUUUGAGACAUGCCCUGCAUGCAUGAUUACUCACUAUAUUUAUGUUCAUCUGAUAUUAUGUUCAUGAAUCAUUUACAUUAUUUACGAGUUGAUGUUAAAAAUGCAUAUUGUUGUACAUCAAUUUUCUUUUCUUUUUUAUGCCUUGUUCUAUUUUCCAGAAUUUAUAGAAUUCAAAUUUAAAC